GUCGAGCGGACAGAAGGGAGCUUGCUCCCGGAUGUUAGCGGCGGACGGGUGAGUAACACGUGGGUAACCUGCCUGUAAGACUGGGAUAACUCCGGGAAACCGGAGCUAAUACCGGAUAGUUCCUUGAACCGCAUGGUUCAAGGAUGAAAGACGGUUUCGGCUGUCACUUACAGAUGGACCCGCGGCGCAUUAGCUAGUUGGUGGGGUAAUGGCUCACCAAGGCGACGAUGCGUAGCCGACCUGAGAGGGUGAUCGGCCACACUGGGACUGAGACACGGCCCAGACUCCUACGGGAGGCAGCAGUAGGGAAUCUUCCGCAAUGGACGAAAGUCUGACGGAGCAACGCCGCGUGAGUGAUGAAGGUUUUCGGAUCGUAAAGCUCUGUUGUUAGGGAAGAACAAGUGCGAGAGUAACUGCUCGCACCUUGACGGUACCUAACCAGAAAGCCACGGCUAACUACGUGCUCACAGCCGCGGUAAAUACCGUA
rnacentral:rRNA from 1 species